GAACCUGCUCUUGGCUGUCUUCGCCAUGGACUUUUGGUCCGCUAGGCGAGCUGUGCUUCAGCUGCUCAGAACUACGGCUCCCGCAGAUGUCCCGGCACUGCUCCACUGGAUGAGGACUACCCGGGAUUUUGAUGGAUUUACUCAGGAUAAUAAUGACGUUAUGCUGAAGAACAUAGCUGAUGACCUGCGGGACUGUUUGCCCUUAGAAGCUGUGCUUUGCUCAGAACACCUGGCCCUUCAAAAAAUACGACAACAGCCAGAACCCACAGUUCAUGUUGAUGCAUUCCUGUAUGAUGAAGACUUUAUUGAUAGAUUAUGUGAGGAAGGGAAAAUGAGCAGAAACUACUGUAUGGUGUGUGGCUCUCACCGAACAGCGCCCUUGGGAUUUAUUUCCCAUUCCUUCUCCCUCAUGGAGUUGAAGUUCAUUUAUCAUCAUGUGCUCCCUGAUCUGUCAGGAAAGGUCUUGGUUGACGUUGGCUCCAGACUUGGCACGGUCCUUUAUGGGGUAAAGUGCAGCUUGUGGACAUACUCACCAUGUGGAAAAUACUUUCUCUGCUAGCGACAGCUUUGCCUGCCACCAUCCAAGGGUUACCUUUACAGCUCAGCAGUGCAGCUCUGUGGGGUAGAGCUGAAUGGAGAAUUUUGCCAAUUGCAGGAAAUGAUCAUAAAGAAAUACCAGUUCGGUGACAGAAUAAAGGUGCUUCAUGCAGACAUCUGUACCCAGAGUUCACUGCUGCAAACUGCUGACGUCAUUGUAAUGAAUAAUGUCUUCGAAUAUUUUCUUGCUGAGGCUCAACAGGCCAGUGCCUGGAGCUGCAUCAUCCAUAAUGUAAGAAAAGAAGGAUCACUGUUAGUGACAGUGCCAAGUCUCCAAGAGUCUCUCCUGGGUCUAGAGAUUAACAUGCAGCUGUCCUCCUGGGUGGAAGAGAUACCUCUGAACCUUGAUGCGUACUCACAAGGGGACAUUGACCAAGAAGCACUUCAACAAAUUCAUCUAUAUAAGGUUCUCUAGCACCAAAGCAACCUAGAAUGAUACCUUAAUCCGUAUGCUUUGUGUACUCCCUUUCAAGCGUUGUAUGCAUGGCUGUGUGCCAGUAACUAGUUCUAUGUGACUGCAUAUACAAUAGUUGUAUGUGGAUAUAAAUAAACUGUAAGAUAAGAUAACUAAAGUAUAUAUCUGAAAUGUU